UCCAUUGCUCCUAGAAGCAUCGCGUCGUGGAUCGGCUUUCUCCGUGCUCCGCCUCGUCGGCCUCAUGCCCUGUAGCCCCGACUCCCCAUCUGCCGCCUCCACCUCAUGGGCCGCCGGGUCCACCCUCGCCGUCCAGCUUGGCAACAUCUUUGACCGUGGUGGCGACGAACUCCGCCUCCUGCACCCCCUCCGCCUCCUCGCCCCUUCCGCUGAGGCCCGCGUCAGCGCGUUCCUGCCAUAGUCGGCAACCAAUAGGAGCGUAAAACUGGAGCUAGGGAUUGAAGCUGUUGCAGGUAUAGUGAAGUUCUGUUUUGAAUCCUAUUUUAGCUUGAUAAUCUUUCUCAACAUCAUGCAAAGAUAUGACAGCCGGUUUCCGUUCAAGAUUAGUAGCUGCUCUGCAUCGACGGUGCUCCUCCGAAUGCAUUUUUUAUUUACACAAUUUCUAGCUUGGUAAUCUUCUCAACACCAUGCAAAGAUAUGACAGCUGGUUUCCGUUCAAGAUUAGUAGCUGCUCUGCUUCGACAGUGCUCCUUCGAAUGCAUUUUUUAUUUACACAAAUGUUCUUAUUUGAAACUUCCCAAAUGUAUGUUACUAUGUCUCAGAAGUGCAUGUCUGGCCUUUUCAG
rnacentral:lncRNA from 1 species